CCAGCAGGUGCGGUAAUAGGUAGGGGGCGAGUCUUGUCCGGAAUUACUGGAAGUAAAGACCACGUAGGCGGCUAUAAAAGUCAGAUGUGAAAAACCUGGGCUCAGCGGAGGGUAUCCAUCUGAAAGUAAAUAGGAUGAGUCAAGGAGAGGAGAGCGGAAUUCCUGGUGUAGCGGUGAAAUAUGUAGAGAUCAGGAAGAAUACCAGUGGCGAAAGCGGCUGACCUGGACUUGAACUCCGACGAGGUGGGAAAGCGUGGGGAGCAAACAGGAUUAGAUACCAGGGUUGUCCAUACCGUAAACGAUGGAUACUAGGUGUGGUCUAGUAUAAUCCGUGCCGGA
rnacentral:rRNA from 1 species